rnacentral:rRNA from 1 species
AUUGAACGCUGGCGGCAUGCUUUACACAUGCAAGUCGAACGGUAACAGGCCGCAAGGUGCUGACGAGUGGCGCACGGGUGAGUAAUGCAUCGGAACGUGCCCAGUCGUGGGGGAUAACUACUCGAAAGAGUAGCUAAUACCGCAUACGAUCUAUGGAUGAAAGCGGGGGACCGUAAGGCCUCGCGCGAUUGGAGCGGCCGAUGUCAGAUUAGGUAGUUGGUGGGGUAAAGGCUCACCAAGCCAACGAUCUGUAGCUGGUCUGAGAGGACGACCAGCCACACUGGGACUGAGACACGGCCCAGACUCCUACGGGAGGCAGCAGUGGGGAAUUUUAGACAAUGGGCGCAAGCCUGAUCCAGCAAUGCCGCGUGCAGGAAGAAGGCCUUCGGGUUGUAAACUGCUUUUGUACGGAACGAAACGGCUCUGGUUAAUACCCGGGGCUAAUGACGGUACCGUAAGAAUAAGCACCGGCUAACUACGUG